GAAGCCGCGUCCGCACGCGCGGUGCGGAGCAGGCUGCAGAGAUGUUGCUUGCGGGGUGGUUGUCUCUGUGUGCUGCGCUCUGCAGCCUCCUGCUGGGGCAGGCCGAGGCCCCGAACCCCGGGGUACCGCCGGAGCGGAGCCGUCCCUACGCGGUGCUGCGUGGGCAGAACCUGGUGCUGAUGGGAACCAUUUUUAGCAUCCUGCUGGUGACCAUCAUCCUUAUGGCAUUUUGUGUCUACAAGCCCAUUCGUCGUCGGUGACAGCCACAGAAGAUCACUCGGCUUCAAGUCUGGGACAGCAUGAGUUGUGCUUGCAUGUGAGCCCCUGGAGAUGAUAGAAUCAGAACUUGUAGGAAGUGCCCACCGAUCUGGGGGACUUAGAAAAGCAACUAGCAGUAAUUGUUUCCUAGCCUCAGUAUUGGCUGCCGAGUCAGCAUCUUGGUGCUUUUGUUUGGCUGUGCUGGCUAAAAGUAAAGGCUGAAGCUCCAAGACUCCUCUAAAGACAUGUCCUUUGCCAAGUGUCCAGAAGAGCUGCGCUGGAGAGCACUAAUCACUAAUGCUUGAAAUAAGGAAGAGGAAGACUCAACAUGUAGACAUCCCCCACUUUCAACCAUUCUGUCUUGGUAUGUUACAUGGGGGCCAGUAAGAUGGCUCAGAAGGUUAGAGGGGCUUGCAGCCAAGCCUGAUAACCUGAGUUUGGUUCUUGGAACUCAUCUGGUGGAAGGAGAGAACUGACUCCCGUGGCUUGUUCUUUGACCUCCACACACGAAUAAGUAAAUAUAAAAACAAAGACGACGUUUCCUUCCUACUGAGGUGCCCUAGGAUACCCUGGUUGAAAAGCCAGUGUUCAUUGUGGAGAACUUAGGCCAUCAUUCCUUGCCUUCAUUGGCGCUGGACUUGAAUGGCCACAAUUGAGCCGGAAUUGUAUCCUAGGUCUGUAGUCACAUGCCCCCCUGGCCUGUCGGAAGAAUAACUCCACCUGACUCAGACAGAUUGAUGUCCCUCUCACCCGUGGCCUAAAGCUUUUGUAACUUUCCAGAUGGGAUCAUGAGAAACUUAGCUCUCCCUCUUCUCCUGGGUGUAGAGGGGUCAGCUAUAUGUCCACUGUGCAGGCUGCUGUUUGCAGGACUCUCGGCGUUUCUAGUGCUGCUACUGAACUUGAGUUCUCCUACUGAUACUUCUCAUAGUCAUAGAGUGGUCGUUAGUAUUUAUUCUGCUAGACUUAAUUUUGUCAGAAUUGUUGCAAUGCUUAGUCUUGUGUUCCCAUAAGCACAGCACUGGUCUUUGUUUUAUUGUCUAACAACUUGUGCUCGAUGUGAAUUCACUGAGGAGGAGCACUGUAACUGUUGGGGUCUUGUCUGUAAACUUGUAACACUGAGCCAUUAAAAUACCAACAUUAAA